GGGGGUGUAGCUCAUGUUGAGAGAGCAUUUGCCUUGCAAGCAAAAGGUCGAGAGUUUGAUUCUCUCCAUCUCCA
rnacentral:tRNA from 2 species